UACGGAGGGUGCGAGCGUUGUCCGGAAUCACUGGGCGUAAAGGGCGCGUAGGUGGCCCGUUAAGUGGCUGGUGAAAUCCCGCGGCUCAACUGCGGGGCUGCCGGUCAUACUGGCGAGCUAGAGCACGGUAGGGGCAGAUGGAAUUCCGGGUGUAGCGGUGGAAUGCGUAGAUAUCCGGAAGAACACCGGAGGCGAAGGCGGCUUGCUGGACCUGGUCUGACGCUGAGGCGCGAAAGCGUGGGGAGCGAACAGG
rnacentral:rRNA from 1 species